rnacentral:lncRNA from 1 species
UUGUUUUAUGGCUCUUCUUUUAGUUGGGUACCACUCUAGCAGUCGUUUGAAUAUAGUGAAACAAUAUUGCUAUUAUAAGGACUAGAAAAAUGAAGUAAACAGACUUUUAGCAAAUUAUUCAGAAUAAGCUCCCAAACAUUUAUAUUUUCUAGACAAAUAACCUCUUAUUUCUUGAAUUUUUCUAGUAAUUUACUUGACUUCUCGGUUAGUAAUUAAUAUUCUCUAUUUCACUAGGAGAUUAUUUAUUUAUUCAUUUAUUAGAAUUCUCAUAUAUACAGAUCCAUGUGUGUGUAUUAGAUAUGCCUACUAUACUAAGUCUUUAGUUUAUGGGUUGAUACCACUUGUGGUAAG